UACGAAGGGUGCAAGCGUUACUCGGAAUUACUGGGCGUAAAGCGUGCGUGAGGUGGUUUAGUUAGUCUGAUGUGAAAGCCCUGGGCUCAACCUGGGAAUUGCAUUGGAUACUGGCAGGCUAGAGUGCGGUAGAGGGUAGUGGAAUUCCCGGUGUAGCAGUGAAAUGCGUAGAGAUCGGGAGGAACACCAGUGGCGAAGGCGACUACCUGGACCAGCACUGACACUGAGGCACGAAAGCGUGGGGAGCAAACAGGG
rnacentral:rRNA from 1 species